ACCGUUGAAUGUAGUAUUUGAAGAUUAUUUUUUUUAAAAAAAUUAAUAUUUAAAAAAAUGUUGUUUUAUAAUUAUUCUAUUAUCAGCAGCCAUAUUACAUUAAUAUUAAGCUUAAAUCAAAGGCAUCGAUUGGAACGAUUUAGAAUCCAAGUAUAGAAAAUACAGUUGGGCCUCCCGCUCACCUGGUGAAUGGGUUUGAAGAGGAGUGAUUUGCUGUGGCAUAAGUUGAGAUGGUAUGGAAGAGGGGUGGCCGAACUCAAGGUUGGAAGGUUGGAACAGUCUCUUCUCCGAGGAUGGGAGGUGCUAAUCUGUGCAGAGUUGGAGCUCUAUUCAGCAAUAAUUUCAUGGGUGGGUGCUGCUGCUUACCAGAGAACCUAGUAAGAAGGAUCGCCUUCUUCAAACUCCGUGUUAAGCAUUAAGCGAGAGCCAGACAUGAUUCAGAAGAGUUCUGGAAGUUCAAGGGCUUGGAUUCAAGUGCGAGGAUUGGUUUGGAUCAACUGGUGUUGACGUUUCUUGAGUUCCAGGUGGAACUUUUUUCCAAUACUUAUUUUUCAGGGAAAAUGAGGCCAAUUCAAGAAUGACAUUAAAUUACCCAAUUUUAGCAUUAGAAAACCUUUGAGAUCUUAUGGUUUGGAAAUGGGUACAACUUGAAAUAUGAUCUUCUAUGCAAUUGCUUUUA